UGGGGAACUCCCUGAGGGCUGGUGGAACGGUUGGACAGGGUUGGGGCUGCCUCGAGGCUCCUGUGAGCACGGCGUGUCCCCCAUCCAGGACCAGCUUCCAGUGGGAGCUGGCACUUCUCACAGUUCUGGUUCUGGAGUGAAAAGGGGUCUGGGGUCCUGGGGCAUGGGAGGUCCAACAGCUCUCACUGGGUUCUCAGGAGCUGGCUGGGCAUCAGCCCUUUAACUAGUCUCUUUUGGGAGACCUUCUGGUUCUUCCCAUAGGAUCCUCUCGUGACAUCAACCUGGGUUUUGAGGUGCCAUCUCUUUUUGGGGGUUGGAUGAUCACAGCCCUGGUCCUGAGCCCUUCCCACAUCCCCAGUUCUGCCCCAGCUCUGCUCAGUGAGAAGAGGGAGGCAGAACCUGGGGAACAGCCAGGCUCUUUAUGAGGCCCAUCUGUCACUUCCCGGAUGUCACUUCCGAGAUGCCGCAUGUGGAACCUGAUGCCUCUUUCUGGUACUUUCCAGAGGUGGUGGCCAUCUGGGAUGUCGUGUCUGUGUACAUCCUGGGGCAGAUGAAGCAGGACAAGGGUGUCCUGGUCCCAGGACUAGGGACCUUUGCUGUGGUCCCUGAGCAAGUUGAUGGUGCAGAAGAGGUGUGUGUAGUCCGAAGACCUGUGUUCCAGUUGGACAUGGAUGUGUCCUGUCUGCAGGAGCUGAUGUUCCCCACAGUGAUGAUCCCUGGUGACAUUGAGAUCGCACCACUGGAUUACUGGUGGCUGUCACAGACCACGUCCCUCCCGCCAGACGUAUUGAGGGACUGUGUGGAGGAGACCGUCCUCCUAUACUCCUUUCAGCUGAGGGACAGGCAGCGCCUUGCCUUUGCCUUUGGGGACAUUGGCGUCCUGUCAUGUCAGGACAAUGUCCUGUGCAUGCAGUUCCACCGCAGCUGUGUCAAGAAGCUGGAGAACUGGGACACCUGGGUGGCUCUACUGCUCACUAGGCUGUGUGUGCCGGAUGCUGGUCUCAGUGAUGGAGCGACUGCUGCUGGGGGGAUGCAGGCUGCAUGGGCUCACUCAUUCCCCAGGUUUCAGCUUGCUGUGUCUGAGGUUUUCUCCACCUGGCACACGAAGGUUGCAGAGAAGCACAGGGUCAGAACGGGGGCACAGGAACAUCCUGACAAGUUUUCCCUCCCCAUGCUACCAAACCAGAGGCCAGGCAUGACGCAGCAAGAGCCAGGGAUGAAGCCAUCUGCCAGCUUUGGCCCCAUAGGAAAACAGGAUAUCUGCCUGCCCUGUGCUCCUGCUGACUCCUCAUGUCUCUGCAGUGUGCUCCCCCUGUCCCCAGGCAUCUUUCCUGGGAUGAGGGAGACAGGUGGGCAGGAGUCAGCUCCUUCGGCCAGGCUCGACACCACACUCCUGGCCUCUGAGAACUGCCAGAGAGCACUGCAGGAGGUCUGUCAGCUGUCUGCAGAGUGGGAGCACGGGAAUUCCUGCUGGAGAGAGCAGAAGGUGGAAUGGGUGGCGUGGGAAGCCUGGGCUGCCAGGGAGGAUCAGCAGGUGCCCCAGGUAUCUGGCCCUGGAGGUCCUUGGGCUCCCCAUCCUUCACUUCAACCCCAGAGAAAGGGGGCCACUGUGACAUGGGGGAGGGUUGGAACCCCCCUCCCUGUGGACGAGAUGGUGGAGAGAUUCCAGCCUGGGACCAGGCACCUUUCCCCACGAGCCAUCCAGGUGCUCCAUGCACUGGAGCCACAUCAGACACGGAGGAACAUCUUCACGUUUUUGGCUGAGAACAAGCGGCGGCGGCAGGAGAAACAGAAGCAGCUCUGCAGGACAGAAAAGUCCUGGCUGGAGGCAGAGGGACUCUGACGGCUGGCUGCCUGCUUCCCAAACCCUGAGAGCCCUUCCUUGGUAGAGUUCUACCCCACGACACCUUGUCCUGACCAGGGGCACCUGUACAGGACACCUGUAGGGGACACCCAGGGUCUCAGCCCAACCUGGCUUUGCCCCAGCUGCACCAUAGGACCUUCUCAUAGGCUGGGAAAUCACCAGGGGCAUCUCCCACUCCAUGGACACCUUGAGCUCCAGGUGCUCGUCCAGCGGCCAAGGAGCAAGGGCUGGAGUGGUGGCUGCAGCCGUGGCUGGUAGUGACAGGUCUGGGAGGCUGCUCACCUGCUGAGGUCCACCCAUGGAUACAAAAUAAAUACUGCUGGGGAUGUUCCCACCUGGA